AACGAACGCUGGCGGCAGGCUUAACACAUGCAAGUCGAACGCCCCGCAAGGGGAGUGGCAGACGGGUGAGUAACGCGUGGGAAUCUACCCAUCCCUACGGAACAACUCCGGGAAACUGGAGCUAAUACCGUAUACGCCCUUCUGGGGAAAGAUUUAUCGGGGAUGGAUGAGCCCGCGUUGGAUUAGCUAGUUGGUGGGGUAAAGGCAUACCAAGGAGACGAUCCAUAGCUGGCCUGAGAGGAUGAUCAGCCACAUGGGGACUGAGACACGGCCCAAACUCCUACGGGAGGCAGCAGUGGGGAAUAUUGGACAAUGGUCGCAAGCCUGAUCCAGCCAUGCCGCGUGAGUGAUGAAGGCCUUAGGGUUGUAAAGCUCUUUCACCGUUGAAGAUAAUGACGGUAGUCGGAGAAGAAGCCCCGGCUAACUUCGUGCCAGCCGCCGCAGUAAUAC
rnacentral:rRNA from 1 species